UGCCACACCAAUGAAAACAAGAUAUCACAGACAAACUGGCCUUUUCCAGAGAUCAGAGCUGGAAAGGAAGUGCUAGGUCAGCAAUUUUCCUUGCUUUGGAAAUUGUGGGCUUCUCAAUAAAACAGGAGUCUGUUUGGAUGUGUUGUUGUCUUAAUCUGUGGAAGAAAAGGAGGUGAACAUUCAUGAAAUUGAAUAUUUGUGCUUGCAUUGCAACAUCAUGUCUUUGGUCAGUUUUCUUGAUGCUGUAAAAACUCUUACCUGUCUUGAAUUUGCAAGAUUGCUAACAGAGGGGACCGGUUUCCUUGGGAGUGUACCAAAUUCCAUAUACUUAUACCUUUAGAAUGGUACACCCCCAAGCAAACAGGUACCCCUAUUAGCAGCCAUGUGAAUCUGGGUGUCACCAGUUGUAUUUUUAACUCUCUAAAUCAAUAUUACCGGUUACUUGCGUUUGUUUUC